GACGAACGCUGGCGGCGUGCUUAACACAUGCAAGUCGAACGGAAAGGCCCUGCUUUUGUGGGGUGCUCGAGUGGCGAACGGGUGAGUAACACGUGAGUAACCUGCCCUUGACUUUGGGAUAACUUCAGGAAACUGGGGCUAAUACCGGCUAGGAGCUCCUGCUGCAUGGUGGGGGUUGGAAAGUUUCGGCGGUUGGGGAUGGACUCGCGGCUUAUCAGCUUGUUGGUGGGGUAGUGGCUUACCAAGGCUUUGACGGGUAGCCGGCCUGAGAGGGUGACCGGCCACAUUGGGACUGAGAUACGGCCCAGACUCCUACGGGAGGCAGCAGUGGGGAAUAUUGCACAAUGGGCGGAAGCCUGAUGCAGCAACGCCGCGUGCGGGAUGACGGCCCUCGGGUUGUAAACCGCUUUCGCCUGUGACGAAGCGUGAGUGACGGUAAUGGGUAAAGAAGCACCGGCUAACUACGUA
rnacentral:rRNA from 1 species